UUACUCUGUUACACCUGACGUCACUCACGUCAUUCACGUGAGCGCACCUUGGCUCACCACCUUAAUGUUUGUGUUAAUUGUUGCAAGUCUGCGAUUCACAAUCCGAAUUAUAUCAGUAUAAUGGGAAGUGUUAUUUACAGAAGAAGUGCUGCGUGUUGGAUAACAACAUUUCAACAACAACAACAACAACAACUGGCGGACAUGCACUGCAGGGAAUCCUUGUGCGGAGCUUGAGUCCAGGCCUGGGCUGAUCGCUGGCAGGGCCAUCCCUCAUCCUGAUACCGCAUGGAGAAUCUCCAUGAAGGGCCCGGCUGACAUUUUUAUUAUUAUGGAUGUGCCCACGCAGCUGAGAUGAGAGGAGGGGAGAAGGCCACCCGAGAGUUUUC